UUGGAGGGCAAGUCUGGUGCCAGCAGCCGCGGUAAUUCCAGCUCCAAUAGCGUAUAUUAAAGUUGUUGCAGUUAAAAAGCUCGUAGUUGAAUUUCGGGAUCAAUAUUUCGGUCAUGCCGUUGGUAUGCACUGUUAUCAUUGAUUUCUCACCUUCUAAAGAACCGUAAUGCCAUUAAUUUGGUGUUACGGGGAAUUAGGACUGUUACCUUGAAAAAAUUAGAGUGUUUAAAGCAGGCUCACGCUUGAAUACAUUAGCAUGGAAUAAUGAAAUAGGACAUCCGAUUCUAUUUUGUUGGUUUCUAGGAUCGAUGUAAUGAUUAAUAGGGAUAGUUGGGGGCAUUAGUAUUCAAUUGUCAGAGGUGAAAUUCUUGGAUUUAUUGAAGACUAACUACUGCGAAAGCAUUUGCCAAGGAUGUUUACAUUAAUCAAGAACGAAAGUUAGGGGAUCGAAGACGAUCAGAUACCGUCGUAGUCUUAACCAUAAACUAUGCCGACUAGGGAUCGGAUGAUGUUAAUUUUUUAAUGACUCAUUCGGCGCCUUACGGGAAAC
rnacentral:rRNA from 1 species